rnacentral:rRNA from 1 species
CCUUACCUGGCCUUGACAUACUAAGAACUUUCCAGAGAUGGAUUGGUGCCUUCGGGAACUUAGAUACAGGUGCUGCAUGGCUGUCGUCAGCUCGUGUCGUGAGAUGUUGGGUUAAGUCCCGCAACGAGCGCAACCCUUUUCCUUAUUGCCAGCGGGUUAAGCCGGGAACUUUAAGGAUACUGCCAGUGACAAACUGGAGGAAGGCGGGGACGACGUCAAGUCAUCAUGGCCCUUACGGCCAGGGCUACACACGUGCUACAAUGGUCGGUACAAAGGGUUGCUACCUCGCGAGAGGAUGCUAAUCUCAAAAAGCCGAUCGUAGUCCGGAUCGCAGUCUGCAACUCGACUGCGUGAAGUCGGAAUCGCUAGUAAUCGCGGAUCAGAAUGCCGCGGUGAAUACGUUCCCGGGCCCUGUACACACCGCCCGUCACACCAUGGGAGUUUGUUGCACCAGAAGUAGGUAGUCUAACCGCAAGGAGGACGCUUACCACGGUGUGGCCGAUGACUGGGGUGAAGUCGUAACAAGGUAGGCGUAGAUGA